UAGAGUUUGAUCCUAGCUCAGGAUGAACGCUGGCGGCGUGGAUAAGGCAUGCAAGUCGAACGGCCGCAUCACAUGGAAUGUGAUGGGAAAUUCCAAAUUACAAAUCCCAAAUCACAAACAAAUCACAAAUUCAAAUCUCAAACGACUUUCUGAAGUCGUUCCCGCGCAGGCGGAAAUCCAGUUUAAUCUGGUUCCCCGUUUACAUGGGGAUGACAUUAAGAAAUGUCAUUUCGGGCUUUUGAUAUUAUGUAUUGUUUGGGAUUUGGUGCUUUGGUUUUGGGAUUUCCGCAUCGCAUUUCGCGCGAUGCGGCAGUGGCAGACGAGGUAGUAAUAAGCAGGUAACGUACCCUAGAGUCAGGCAUAGCUCAUCGAAAGGUGGGGUAAUUCCUGAUAGCCCCGCCUAACUUUCAGUACUGCAAUUUUUCGUCGGGCAGUCUCUCGCGCAACGGGAGAUAACUAAAACGAGAUUUUGAGUUUUGAAAGUUGGGCGGGUAAAGUCGCAAGACGCUCUGGAAGCGGCCUGUUCGGUAUCAGCUAGUUGGCAGGGUAAAAGCCUACCAAGGCUAUGACGCCUAGGGGACCUGAGAGGGUGACCCCCACCGAUGGAACUGAGAUAAACGCUCGCUAGAUAUGAUUUUUUUGUGCAGAAUGCUUCAGCAAUCGGAAAUUAUAGUCGCUUCGUUUACGAAAAAUUGAAAACUCGCCGCGAUUACGCGGCUCAAACAGUUCAAUUUUUCUACGAAGCUUCUUAAUUUCCAAAUUGCUUCUCGCAAUGCUCAAAAAAAUCAUAUCUAGCUCGCUACGGUUGAUAAAAAACCAAGUGAAAAAGAGCAACUGUUUCCUUGCGGAGUAAUCCGCAAGUAAAAUCCAACUCAUAACGGUGGAAUCUGCCGAAAGGCAGACAAUACCGUGGGAAGUUCCACUUUACUUAAGUAAAGUGGAACCCCGUAACGACUCUUUGUAAGGAAACGAAGGAGUUAUCGCAACGCAAUUAAGAGCUAAAGCGGUAGCUAACAUGUUGGCCCCGAAAUAACUCUCUACAAGAUUAUUUCGGGUGAAGGUAUAGUCUGAUACUCUGAGUGAUCGGAGAAAACACUAUGACGGUCCAUACACCUACGGGUGGCUGCAGCCGAGAAUAUUCGACAAUGGGCGAAAGCCUGAUCGAGCGACGCCGCGUGCGGGAUGAAGUCCUUCGGGAUGUAAACCGCUUUUGUAGACUAGAAAGUUUAUUGAUCAGUCUAAGAAUAAGAGGUUACUAAACUCGUGCCAGCAGUAGCGGUAAUACGAGUGCCUCAAGCGUUAUCCGGAAUUAUUGGGCGUAAAGGGUGUGUAGGCGGUCUUGUUAGUCUUCUGUCAAAUUCUUCGGCUUAACCGGGGGCUCGCAGAAGAAACGGCAAGACUUGAGGGUGCGAGAGGUUUGCGGAACUCAUGGUGUAGGGGUGAAAUCCGUUGAUAUCAUGGGGAACACCGAAAGCGAAGGCAGCAAACUGGCGCAUUCCUGACGCUGAAACACGAAAGCGUGGGUAGCGAAUGGGAUUGACGCUCGCAGUACAUGCUUUUUUAAGCAGAAUGCUUCGGCAAAAGAAAAUCAUAGUCGGUUCACAACGAGAAAUGAAAAACUCGCAGACUCAAACAGUUUCAUUUCUCUGUUCACCUCCUCGAUUUUCAUUUUGCCUCCCGCAAUGCUUAAAAAAGCAUGUACUGCUCGCUUUAUGUUGGAAAGAAAAACAACAGAAAGCGGAACGUAGGGGUACGUUGAGCACUAGUCCCCCCGUGAAGCGGAAGCGUUUUACGGGGAUAACCUAGCUAUAUGCUGGAAAACCCGAGUAUCUGGGAGUACUUCGUGAGUACGAAGUGAAAAUCUCUCCAGUGCGGGCAAUCAGCAGGAAAGGAUUAAUGAAAUAUGUCCUAGAGUAUGAAGCCUCUUGCCCGGGGCUCGGAAAGAGUCGGGGCAAAACUAUGUUUACAGCAGAGAAUGAUGGUGCAGCUGAAAGAGAGGUUGCAGAUGUUCUCUUCGGUUUAUAUAGUUCAAGCCAAUGGAGACAUAUGGGCAGUAGUUCAUCGGACUGGAAACCUUUGUUGUUAUCCAGAGUCAGUCCUUUGAAAGAUUUUGCUUAAAACGGGCAUCCAGAUUAAUCUUCCUCAGAGACUAUACGCUGGGCUCAACUUUCUGAAUCAAGGAUAUCGGCAGUCCGAUGUCCCUUUUUCAGAGAGUUGGUGAAGAUAUAGUCCGAACUCUAUGGCGACAUAGAGAGGCAAGCAGAAAUGACUUGCCCGACCCCAUUAGAAAGGCGAAGUGCCUUCUAACGGGGCAAGCUUGCACACUUUGUGAUGAGUCCGCCGCUGACAUCGUAGGUCUACUUGAUUAACGGAAGUCUUGAGACGGACAUCCUGCUAGACUCAGUCUUUUCCGUGUCGGCUUGUGGCCUUGACUCAUCAUAGAGUAACCGAUUUUCCGUAUCGGUUGCUCUCAUCACAAAGUGUGCAAGAGUGGCAAUUUUGAAUUUCCAUUUGCAAAUUUCUUUUUUGAACAUUUGAAUUUGUUUGGAAUUUGGAAUUUGUGAUUUGGAAUUUUCAAAAUUGUUACAAAGUAACAAUUUUGUAGAUACCCCAGUAGUCCACGCCCUAAACGAUGUUCAUUGGCUUUUCAGAGUAUCGACCCUCCGAGAGGCGAAGCUAACGCGAUAAAUGAACCGCCUGGGUAGUACGGCCGCAAGGCUAAAACUCAAAGGAAUAGACGGGGACUUGCACAAGCGGUGGAUUGUGUGGUUCAAUUCGAUGGUAAGCGAAGAACCUUACCAGGGUUAGAAAUCUAGUCGAAGGCAAGCAGAAACGUUUGUCGUCUCACAAGGACGGCUGGACAGGUGCUGCAUGGUC
rnacentral:rRNA from 1 species